rfam:Pteropus alecto contig97157, whole genome shotgun sequence.
GUCUAUGGCCAUGCUACCCUGAACAAGCCCAAUCGCAUCUGAUCUCGGAAGCUAAGCGGGAUCAGGCCUGGUUAGUACUUGGAUGGGAGACCACCUAGGAAGAUCAGGUGCUAUAGGCG